CAGCAGCCACGGUAACACGGAGGGUGCAAGCGUUAAUCGGAAUUACUGGGCGUAAAGCGCACGCAGGCGGUCUGACAAGUCAGAUGUGAAAUCCCCGGGCUUAACCUGGGAACUGCAUUUGAAACUGUCAGGCUGGAGUCUUGUAGAGGGGGGUGGAAUUCCAGGUGUAGCGGUGAAAUGCGUAGAGAUCUGGAGGAAUACCGGUGGCGAAGGCGGCCCCCUGGACAAAGACUGACGCUCAGGUGCGAAAGCGUGGGGAGCAAACAGGAUUAGAUACCCGUGUAGUCCCUGUCUCUUAUAA
rnacentral:rRNA from 1 species